GACGAACGCUGGCGGCGUGCCUAAUACAUGCAAGUCGUACGCAACAAUCACACCGAAAGCUUGCUUUCACCGUGAUUGUUGAGUGGCGAACGGGUGAGUAACACGUGGGUAACCUGCCCAUCAGAAGGGGAUAACACUUGGAAACAGGUGCUAAUACCGUAUAAUAGUUUGAUCCGCAUGGAUCGAAUUUGAAAGGCGCUUUUGCGUCACUGAUGGACGGACCCGCGGCGUAUUAGCUAGUUGGUGAGGUAAUGGCUCACCAAGGCAACGAUACGUAGCCGACCUGAGAGGGUGAUCGGCCACAUUGGGACUGAGACACGGCCCAAACUCCUACGGGAGGCAGCAGUAGGGAAUCUUCGGCAAUGGACGAAAGUCUGACCGAGCAACGCCGCGUGAGUGAAGAAGGUUUUCGGAUCGUAAAACUCUGUUGGUAAAGAAGAACAAGGGUGAGAGUAAAAAGUUCACCCCUUGACGGUAUUUACCCAGAAAGCCACGGCUAACUACGUGCCAGCAGCCGCAGUAAAAC
rnacentral:rRNA from 1 species